UAGGAAUUGACGGAAGGGCACCACCUGGAGUGGAGCCUGCGGCUUAAUUUGACCCAACACGGGAAACCUCACCCGGCCCGGACACGGAAAGGAUUGACAGAUUGAUAGCUCUUUCUCGAUUCUGUGGGUGGUGGUGCAUGGCCGUUCUUAGUUGGUGGAGCGAUUUGUCUGGUUAAUUCCGAUAACGAACGAGACUCCGGCAUGCUAACUAGUUACGCGGCCCCGUGCGGUUCGGGCGUCCCACUUUCUUUAGGAAGGGGACAAGUGGCGUUCAGCCACACGAGAUUGAGCAAUAACAGGUCUGUGAUGCCCUUAGAUGUCC
rnacentral:rRNA from 1 species